ACAAGAGCACACAGCCACACCUGCCCCUGCCCUGCAGUGUGACACGGAGCCAACAAGUUCCCACCUAAAGAGAUGGCAGGGGAAAAAAAAGAGCAGGUCCACAGAUACCUGGGCAGGAAUGAUGGAGGCACAAUCUUUCUACAGAAUAAACAUUGUGGUAAUAUCCCGGGCUCAUCUUAAAUUGCCUCAGCAGCAAUGCGGGGACUACUGUGUACAAGAAGUUGCAUCAUGGGUGCUACGUUGCUCUGGACUGCGCGGACCUGGUGUCAGAAGAUGGAGACCCAAAAAUAAAGGGCCAAAGAACCAGUUGUUCUUACUGAUGGAGUAACAUUCAAUGCUGCGAAAUGGGUCACCCGAUCCACCUCUACCACCGACACAGAACAGCACACCUGAAGAAGAAAAAACAUGUUUCCAGAAAACUAGCAGGAAGAUGGGAGAUAAAGUUGCAUAGCAGAGUGAACUGAAAAUUAUGUAGUUCAGGAGAAGUUGUAUUUCACUUCGGCCUCAAGGGGCCCAGUCAUUGCCCUGUAUAACUGGAUGCUGGAUUUUGGCCUUUGCUUGGCAUGCUGCUAUGGCGAUUAACUAUCUAUGCUUUUGCAAAAACAUAUGUAAAAUAUGCUUUGCUUUUUGUGAUUUUGCUUAGGGAGAUGCACAGAUUGUUUGCUAAACAUAACAAUGUAAAAAUUAGGAUUUUCAGUCUGAUAUUCAUCACUUACUUUUGGUGUAGGUUAGCCAAAGAGUUUAAAAGUUAGCUCAACCUUCUCACAUCAAAAGGUAAGUGUCCACUGUUUUCAGUAUAGCUUUGAGCAUACUGCCUGGUCAUAACAUACUUAACAGUUCUAGUUUUAAUACAGAUAGAGUCAAUCAGGAUAAACGCUUUAAAGAAAGAAAAUGACUGCUAAAGUUCUGCUAGAAAAAUGCAGAACAUCACCUAAUUACUAGAGAGGUACACAAUGGCUUCCCCAAUUUUGCAUCAAGUCAUUAACAAACAUUUAUACCAAGCUAUCUAACCCUGCACAGAUGCGCCACCUUUUCUCCACGCCACUGCCUACUGGAUAAUCAGACACACAUUUAAUUACCAGCAGUCUGCUUCCUUGGUGUUGUGCGAAUGGAGUACUCAAAGUCUGGCACUGCCCUGCUGCUCAGGUGAAGGUGGUAGUUUCUUGCUUCAUCCAGCAAAUCCCUACAUUUUAGAUUCUGCUUGACAAUCUCUUCCUUUGCCACAACACCCAUAAGGAAACAAAUGGGCAAGAGAGGCAGCCGUACCUGACAGAAAUGAACACAGUUGGAGUAACGGCCUGAACUGAGUCUCAUGAUUUACAGAGAUGCACGCAUAACAGAUGGCAGCUUCUGAGCCAGCUGCCAGCUCCAUGCUCUUCACUAAAAAAAGCUAUUUUUUUUUUCCAGAAUAACAGCAAUAUGAACAGUUCUUUUUUGUAACAAAUGUUUGCUACAACCAUUUGCAUUUAAGCAGCAGUGGAGAACUGUCUCUUGGCCCAGGCUGAGCAGUAGUGCCGCUGCCUGUACUGCACCUGUGCCUGCCCAGUGUGAAGCAGGCAGCAUCUGUGGCUUUACCAGGAUAGCCUGUGUCAGGUUAGUCUGCUGAGGGUAUGAAUUUUCAGCCCAUUGCUAUGCCAGCAUAAGAAAGCUUUUGCUAGAAUGGUUCAUUUUCUUUGGCCGGCAGGUCAAGAAGGAACCACUGUCAGCAUGAGCUAAGUGUCUAUUGAGGAGGUAUUGCUAGUGCAGUAACACCUUUCUCUAGCAUGGAUAUGACAGACUAGAGGAUUAAAAAGAAGAAAAAAAGGUUGAGAGCUAAUUGUUUCCUUCCCCAAAUCCUCCUGCAGUUCCCCAGAAGAGAGCUGGUGACCAGGCUGAGGAAUGGAAGGCUUUUUCUGGGUGAGGCCCAGGUGGUUGCUGCCCAGAGCAAUCUCCAGUGAAAGGUCAGAUCUGAAAUAAGGUACUCCUCCCCAGAGUCAUUUAUUUCAGCAAACCUUUCAUUUGUCUUUGAGAGAAACAGUGAGGAAUAUGAAGUACAAUCAUGUGCAAAGGUGGGACAGGUGUUAGCAGGGGGUGGAACUGAAGUAAACCACCAUCUGACUUCCUAAGGUUUGGAGUCUGCUGUGAAGCACCUCCCAGCUCAGCAGCAAUGGUGAGGUCCAGCAUCUCCAGUGCUUCUCAGAGCAGCAGGAUGGUGCUGUUAUAUGGCUGACAGGUGUCCCUAGCUUUAAGCAAGUGUCUCUACCAGUUCGUCCACGCACUUGCUUCCAGUCCCACUUCUGCCUUUACUUUGGCCUGGCUUAUUUUAAGCUGAUGAAAAACCCCACUGUAGCCCUGCUAACAGACUUGUGAGGUUAGUGAUGCGGAAGGAACUCAAGGCUGACAAAAUCAGAACCUCACUAUAACAGUGAAACCCAUAAAAGGCUGAUUAUGAUGUGGAUAAUAACUGUCAAGACGCCCAGUCAUGUUUUCUGCUAGCAAUAAUGUCUACAUCAGUUGAUGGUUCCAUAUACUGUGACAAAUAUUUACAGGAAGGGGGUUUACUUUUUAAUUGCUUCAUUCUAGACUCCAGCUUCCCUAAAUAGAAUAAAGCUGUUAAUAUCAUGUGCUAGCACAACUGGGCAACAAAAAUAAAUCAUCUUUUUAAUCUCAAAUUAUCUUGCCUGUAAAUCUAAUUAUAGUGUACUAAAGGUUUUUUGUACCAAAAACCUCAUGCUAGUCUAGACGAAACCAAAGGCUUUUUGGAAGACAGUUAAUAAACAGUUGUGAUCUUUUACCAGGAAAUGUGAAAAAAUGAUGCAUGAAGACAACAGCAGCAGCAUGUUAGUGGAUCUCUCUCUCAUUACGCACAUGAUGCCAACAUUAGCAGUUCUGCCAAAUGCAAAAUACUCAAGUUGGAGUUCAGUGACAACUGAAACAGUACAUUUGAUCCUAUCUGCUAAGAUACAUAGGGCAUUUUGCAGCACAUGGCAGAAGCAGUGGACUCACAUCAAGUCUAGACAAUUAAACUGCAAACUCCUUUCAGAUACUACAGGUAACAAGCAGUGCUAGUCUAGUGAGCAUUAAGGAGUCUAGCAUAUGUUUCCUAGCCUGCCUAUAGGUCUAACACAUCCUGGUCUUCUGUUAAUUAAAUAUAUGGAAUAUUCUGUAAGUAGCACGACUUGAUGUGACACAUCUCCAUUACAGUUUUACUUUCCUAGCCAUGUAAAAAACCUCCUCCACAGCUUUGCUCUCCUUUCUUAAGCACAAAUACUUACCAGCAAGGGAAUUGAGCAUUUCAAGUUGUAAACAUAUCAAACCAAGUGAAGUGGUGGCUUUAUGUUCUCCACUGUGUGUAAAUCUAGGAAGUUUCUGCUCUAACACACAUGCAGCUUUUUGUUGGCUCCCCACCCCCCCAAUAAGGAGCAUAAAGUGAGUACUUUUCUCUCUACAGAAACUGGAGAAUAUGCCUUCUUCCUGAUAGUCAAGAGAUCUGACCUGCUUCCACUGUCAACUCACAGUUGUGACUACCAGAUAAGACACCAAGUGCUACGAACAUUUUUCAUCCUGAGAUCUACCUAAGUACAAACAGUUGAUUAUACAACUAAACCAGUGAUGAGACAGGCACCUGGCACCUCGGUCUGCCCUACC